rnacentral:rRNA from 1 species
AGGGUGCGAGCGUUAAUCGGAUUUACUGGGCGUAAAGCGUGCGUAGGCGGCUGAUUAAGUCGGAUGUGAAAUCCCUGAGCUUAACUUAGGAAUUGCAUUCGAUACUGGUCAGCUAGAGUAUGGGAGAGGAUGGUAGAAUUCCAGGUGUAGCGGUGAAAUGCGUAGAGAUCUGGAGGAAUACCGAUGGCGAAGGCAGCCAUCUGGCCUAAUACUGACGCUGAGGUACGAAAGCAUGGGGAGCAAACAGGAUUAGAUACCCUGGUAGUCCAUGCCGUAAACGAUGUCUACUAGCCGUUGGGGCCUUUGAGGCUUUAGUGGCGCAGCUAACGCGAUAAGUAGACCGCCUGGGGAGUACGGUCGCAAGACUAAAACUCAAAUGAAUUGACGGGGGCCCGCACAAGCGGUGGAGCAUGUGGUUUAAUUCGAAGCAACGCGAAGAACCUUACCAGAUCUUGACAUCCUCUGACUCCUCUAGAGAUAGAGUUUUCCCCUUCGGGGGACAGAGUGACAGGUGGUGCAUGGUUGUCGUCAGCUCGUGUCGUGAGAUGUUGGGUUAAGUCCCGCAACGAGCGCAACCCUUAAGCUUAGUUGCCAUCAUUAAGGUUGGGCACUCUAAGUUGACUGCCGGUGACAAACCGGAGGAUGUGGGGGAUGACGUCAAAUCAUCAUGCCCCUUAUGAUUUGGGCUACACACGUGCUACAUGGACAAUACAAGGGUAGCGAACCGCGAGGUCAGCAAAUCCAUAAAGUGUCUCAGUCGAUUGUAGUCUGCACUCGACUUUUUUGAAGAUGGAAUCCGCUAGUAAUUCGUAAGAAUCAAGC